ACAAUUGCAAGUCGAGCGGAACGAGUUAUCUGAACCUUCGGGGAACGAUAACGGCGUCGAGCGGCGGACGGGUGAGUAAUGCCUAGGAAAUUGCCCUGAUGUGGGGGAUAACCAUUGGAAACGAUGGCUAAUACCGCAUAAUGCCUACGGGCCAAAGAGGGGGACCUUCGGGCCUCUCGCGUCAGGAUAUGCCUAGGUGGGAUUAGCUAGUUGGUGAGGUAAUGGCUCACCAAGGCGACGAUCCCUAGCUGGUCUGAGAGGAUGAUCAGCCACACUGGAACUGAGACACGGUCCAGACUCCUACGGGAGGCAGCAGUGGGGAAUAUUGCACAAUGGGCGCAAGCCUGAUGCAGCCAUGCCGCGUGUGUGAAGAAGGCCUUCGGGUUGUAAAGCACUUUCAGUCGUGAGGAAGGUAGUGUAGUUAAUAGCUGCAUUAUUUGACGUUAGCGACAGAAGAAGCACCGGCUAACUCCGUGCCAGCAGCCGCGGUAAUACGGAGGGUGCGAGCGUUAAUCGGAAUUACUGGGCGUAAAGCGCAUGCAGGUGGUUUGUUAAGUCAGAUGUGAAAGCCCGGGGCUCAACCUCGGAAUUGCAUUUGAAACUGGCAGACUAGAGUACUGUAGAGGGGGGUAGAAUUUCAGGUGUAGCGGUGAAAUGCGUAGAGAUCUGAAGGAAUACCGGUGGCGAAGGCGGCCCCCUGGACAGAUACUGACACUCAGAUGCGAAAGCGUGGGGAGCAAACAGGAUUAGAUACCCUGGUAGUCCACGCCGUAAACGAUGUCUACUUGGAGGUUGUGGCCUUGAGCCGUGGCUUUCGGAGCUAACGCGUUAAGUAGACCGCCUGGGGAGUACGGUCGCAAGAUUAAAACUCAAAUGAAUUGACGGGGGCCCGCACAAGCGGUGGAGCAUGUGGUUUAAUUCGAUGCAACGCGAAGAACCUUACCUACUCUUGACAUCCAGAGAACUUUCCAGAGAUGGAUUGGUGCCUUCGGGAACUCUGA
rnacentral:rRNA from 1 species